rnacentral:rRNA from 1 species
UACGUAGGGUGCGAGCGUUAAUCGGAAUUACUGGGCGUAAAGCGUGCGCAGGCGGUUUUCCAAGACAGAUGUGAAAUCCCCGGGCUCAACCUGGGAAUGGCAUUUGUGACUGGAAGGCUAGAGUGUGUCAGAGGGGGGGUAGAAUUCCACGUGUAGCAGUGAAAUGCGUAGAGAUGUGGAGGAAUACCGAUGGCGAAGGCAGCCCCCUGGGAUAACACUGACGCUCAUGCACGAAAGCGUGGGGAGCAAACAGG